rnacentral:lncRNA from 1 species
CUUUAGGCCAGCUAAGAUCAAGCAUGUCAAGGACCUGCAACUCUGAAAAGACAGUUUCCCCUACCAUAUGGAUGGAAGCAGCCUCUAUCCAUUAGAUGCAUAGCUGGAAUAGUCAGUUUCUUUAAAAACUAUCAGACUGAUACAUACUCUCUCGAUACUCUUCUCUUUCUUUCUGGUGACAUCCAAGGGUGAGGAGGAUCCUGUUGAUCCAUGCCCUCAUUUUACAGAUGAGGAGACUGAGGCUAACAGGAUUAAGUGACUUACCUAUAAUCACACAUCAACUGGAUACAGAAAUAACUGGAUGAACAGUUUACAUACUUACAUAGGGAAGCUGAACCACGAUAACAUUGAGAACAAAUUUAAUUGUGAUGAGAAGGCAACUCAGAUAAAAAUCUUUUAAGGAGAGGAGAACAUGGCAGAAGAUGGAAGAAGAUGGACAUUUAAUGAAACAAAUGAAUUCCAUUUGUUUCUGAAGAAAAAACCAGAACUAAACAAAAAAUUUGAUCUCCAAGCAUAGAACUCAAGAGAUGCAG